rnacentral:rRNA from 1 species
CCUACGGGUGGCAGCAGUGGGGAAUAUUGCACAAUGGGGGAAACCCUGAUGCAGCGACGCCGCGUGAGUGAUGAAGUAUCUCGGUAUGUAAAGCUCUAUCAGCAGGGAAGAAAAUGACGGUACCUGACUAAGAAUCCCUGGCCAACUACGUGCCAGCAGCCGCGGUAAUACGUAGGGGGCACGCGUUAUCCGGAAUUACGGGGUGUAACGGGAGCGUAGACGGCGCUGCAAGUCCGGGGUGAAAGCCCAUGGCUUAACCAUGGUACUGCUCUGGAAACUGUGGAGCUUGAGUGCGGGAGGGGCAGGCGGAAUUCCUGGUGUAGCGGUGAAAUGCGUAGAUAUUAGGAGGAACAUCAGCGGCGAAGGCGGCCUGCUGGACCGUAACUGACGUUGAGGCGCGAAAGCGUGGGGAGCAAACAGGAUUAGAUACCCUUGUAGUC